CAAUGAAUUUUCUUUUUUUUUUUCAAUGCAUUUUCAAAAAGUAAAAUUUAAAUGCUUGCAUCAAAGACACUGCACUCGAUUUAAGAAGAGGGUCCGUGGUGCAGCAGAAUGCGCAGUCUCCUCCAGGUGGGAGCGACCUGUGCCCAGGCCCGAGGGGCUCCCCUCUGCGUGAUCCACCCACUUGGCAGAUGCCGCAGCAGAGGCGAAGGGAAACGGAAGUGUGGAGGAGCUGACUUUUCACAGAGGGGUUAUAAAUGAGUAAGGAGAGUAUUGUUGCAAGUUGGUAAGUGUGAAUCAGUCUUAUUUAUUUAGCACUCUUUUUCUGUUCUAAUACCCGCUCACUGAAAAAACACCAAAUGAAAAAUCCAUUGUGUGGUCUCUUCAGGCUCAGUAGGCACCGAGGGAGAUGAAACAAAUAAACAUCCAGGC
rnacentral:lncRNA from 1 species